rnacentral:misc_RNA from 1 species
AACUGAUACUACCUGCGGGAACCUGCGGAGGGAUCAUUAGUGAACGCCCUCACGGGCUUAUAACUAUUCCAAACCUCUGUGAGCCGUGCCCUUCGGGGCUAUUUUACAAACAUGGUGUAAUGAACGUCAUAUAUCAUAACAAAACAAAACUUUUAGCAACGGAUCUCU